rnacentral:lncRNA from 13 species
AUGCAUCCUUCCUUCAUUUCUUGGCAUGUUUGGUUGGUAUGUGGGAGCUACAAUGGAAGGUUGAAAACGUUUUCUUUUCUUUCUUUCUUUCCACAGAUCCAUUUCAAUCCAUCCCAUUCCUGGAAAAACCACAGUCCCCCAGCAGUCUCUAAGCCCUUCACUUUUGAAAAGCACACAGCUUCCCUGCUACCCCUUGCUUCUGUGGGUCCGGCUGGAACGAUUCCCCAGGGCCGUGGGUUUGGAAGCUGCUCCUCUACGCCGGCUGACCCAUCCUGGCUCCCCACCUGUCAUGAGAUCCUUUUUCUAGGCCAGGCAUUGCAAACCGUACUCUGCACACUAAAUCUAGCCUGUUGCCUAUUUUUGUAUAUGAUCUAAGAAUAAUUUUUACAUUUUUAAAUGGUUUUUAA